GUCCUCCAGGUGAGGUAAUAUAAAGAUCAGUCACUACUUACAUCUGUAUUUGUCCUCCAGGUGUGGUAAUAUAAAGAUCAGUCACUACUUACAUCUGUAUUUGUCCUCCAGGUGUGGUAAUAUAAAGAUCAGUCUCUACUUACAUCUGUAUUUGUCCUCCAGGUGUGGUAAUAUAAAGAUCAGUCACUACUUACAUCUGUAUUUGUCCUCCAGGUGAGGUAAUAUAAAGAUCAGUCACUACUUACAUCUGUAUUUGUCCUCCAGGUGUGGUAAUAUAAAGAUCAGUCACUACUUACAUCUGUAUUUGUCCUCCAGGUGUGGUAAUAUAAAGAUCAGUCUCUACUUACAUCUGUAUUUGUCCUCCAGGUGUGGUAAUAUAAAGAUCAGUCACUACUUACAUCUGUAUUUGUCCUCCAGGUGUGGUAAUAUAAAGAUCAGUCACUACUUACAUCUGUAUUUGUCCUCCAGGUGUGGUAAUAUAAAGAUCAGUCUCUACUUACAUCUGUAUUUGUCCUCCAGGUGUGGUAAUAUAAAGAUCAGUCUCUACUUACAUCUGUAUUUGUCCUCCAGGUGUGGUAAUAUAAAGAUCAGUCACUACUUACAUCUGUAUUUGUCCUCCAGGUGUGGUAAUAUAAAGAUCAGUCACUACUUACAUCUGUAUUUGUCCUCCAGGUGUGGUAAUAUAAAGAUCAGUCACUACUUACAUCUG